GCGUUCCUGCCGUGUGCGUGGAGGAUGACAGUCCCGAUCCAACACGCAUGACGUCGGGAGCCCUGCUCCGGCCGUCGAUGGCCGGCCCCAGAGGUCGUGGGGAUGCCAGAAGCGGUCGGGCGGGCACCCACUUGGUAGUGAACCAGGUUGGGGACUGCAACCUUACGGCACGGCGGGAGCGAU
rnacentral:other from 1 species